GGGGAUACAGCUCAGUUGGUAGAGUGCUUGCCUUGCAUGCAUGAGUCCCUGGGUUCAACCCCCAGUACCACCA
rnacentral:tRNA from 1 species